AUCCGGCUGAUGAGUUCGAAAUAGGACAAAAACGCGCGUCUUGGAU
rfam:Schistosoma rodhaini strain Burundi genome assembly, scaffold: SROB_scaffold0006395